rnacentral:rRNA from 1 species
UACGUAGGGAGCAAGCGUUGUCCGGAAUCAUUGGGCGUAAAGCGCGCGUAGGUGGCCUCGUAAGUCCGCUGUGAAAGUCAAAGGCUCAACCUUUGAAAGCCGGUGGAUACUGUGGGGCUAGAGUACGGAAGAGGCGAGUGGAAUUCCUGGUGUAGCGGUGGAAUGCGCAGAUAUCGGGAAGAACACCCGUGGCGAAGGCGGUUCUCUGGGACGGUACUGACGGCUGAGACGCGAAAGCGUGGGGAGCGAACAGG